UAAGUCAAGUCCUACGAUGCCGCCCAAACAAGUUAACGUGCUGGGAGUUAGCGGCGGAGGAAGAUGCUAGCAAGUAGCAGCUAGCUCGCAGUAAAGAUGGAACUUCUCGACCACUUGAAGGAAAGCCACAAAGGCACAAGUACAACUGGCAUCAACUUUAAUGGAACGCGUCGACUCUCGGCAGAUCGGAGAUGACAUUUAAGCUGCCGGCGCCGGGAAGAUAAAUUGGGAAAAAUGGCCCCGUGAUGAGAACAAGGGAGGGAUGUUGAGGAAUUUGAUCAGCGGACCGUCUUCCAGCUGUGGCGGAUCGCCGGCCGUCCUUUUAUCCCUUCUGACCGCUGCCAUCAAUCAGGAAGGACUCGCAUCCACAAAAGGCCAACUUAGCCCCUCGACCCCAAAAUCCACUUUGCUGCAUAUGUAACACCGGGUUUGCCGAGUCGUCCAUUUGCAGAAUUGGUAGUGGUUCUACAUUUUAAAAUCAAUCAUUUAAAAAACUUUUUUUUUUUUU